GAAGAAUGUUGCCAAUCAUAAAGGUUUGCAUCUUUUCUCCAAUCUGUUUUUUACUUAAUGUGGGAUAUCCAUGUUUCAAAAAGUCAUUUUCUGUUGCUAGUUAUCAUGUCUAGAAAAUUUGGUGAUUUGAAUUUCAUGUUGGGUUGCACUAUAUGAUUUUCAUCAUGUUGCAAGUCAAAAUUUUAUUUGCAAUGGAGAUAGCUAGUCCAGUGAGUCAUGAAUGCUGCUUUGCUAUAUUUCAGUCUAAUUAUGUAGUGGCCAACUAAAUGAGCAAUAAUGCCUGUGCUGUACUGUAAAUCAUUAUGGUUGUAGCAAGGUAGAAAAUCAAACCAAAUGGAAGUUGACCUUAACCUGGAAAAUCUAAUUGCUGGAACUGUCCUAGUUUUGGUAUCUUGCAAUAAAACUAAUUGGUUGGGUUAUGUAGACCUUGAAAUGGUUUAUUUAGCUGGAAUAGAGGGUCAAAUCAUGCAAUUUGCUUUUUAUUAGUGGGAGCUACUGUUGGACUAAAAUGCUUAGAUUCAUUCUGUGCGUGCAGCUGCAAUGGAAAUACUACAAACGGUUGGAUUUAUUGAAGAUGUUGUCUUUGAUGAAACUGGGAAAGCAGAAUCUUGUUUAGUGUUGAAGCGGAAUGAUCCAGGCCUGUUGUGGCUUGCAAAAUCAUCCCUUGAGGCUUGUGUAACCGGCUAGUCCUGGAGGUAUCAACAUACUGAAAAUGCGUUUGAAACUGU
rnacentral:misc_RNA from 1 species